CUGCUUACUUUAGCAGCACAUAUACUAAAAUUGGAAUGAUACAGAGAAGAUUUGCAUGGCCCCUGCACAUGGAUGAAACACAAAUUCGUCAAGUCUUCCACAUUUUU
rnacentral:snRNA from 1 species